rnacentral:sRNA from 1 species
GUUCUCGGCCAGGUGUGAUAGCUCAUGCCUGUUUUCCCAGCAGUUUGGGAGGCCGAGGCAGGCGGAUCACCUGAGGUCAGGAGUUCCAGACCAGCCUGGCCAACAUGUUGAAGCCAUCUCUACUAAAAAUACGAAAAAUUGGCUGGGCGUGGUGGCGUGCGCCUGUAAUCCCUGCUACUCAGGAGGCUGAGGCAGGAGAAUCGCUUGAACCCGGGAGGCAGAGGUUGCAGUGAGCCAAGAUCGUGCCACUGCACUCCAGCCUGGUGACAGAGCGAGACUCCAUCUCAAAAAAAAAAAAAAAAAGUUAUCAAAAUAUUGCAAUAGGAGUUUUACUAAAAUAAGUAUAAUUAAUUCUCCAGUAUGAUUUAUUCAGAGGAUAACACUUCAAGUUCUGGCAUAUUUGUUUAAAAUAAGUGUCUUUACUUAAAACUGUAUCUUGUGUUUAAUAUGGAUUAAUAUUAAUAUAUUAAUGUUUCAAUAUUUACAGGACUGCAUUUUUUAUGGUUUUGUUUCAAAAGCCAUUUUCUUCUGGGAAAACUAUUACCAAACACCAGGACUUUGCUGCUAUUUGAGCACAGUGAUAUUGUUGUCAUUUCACUACUCAGUGUUUUGUUCACCAGUUCUGGAGGAGGACCAGCAAAGACAAGGGGAGCUGCUUUUUUCAUUAUUGCUGUGAUCUGUUUAUUGCUUUUUGACAAUGAUGAUCUCAUGGCUAAAAUGGCUGAACACCCUGAAGGACAUCAUGACAGUGCUCUAACUCAUAUGCUUUACACAGCCAUUGCCUUCUUAGGUGUGGCAGAUCACAAGGGUGGAGUAUUAUUGCUAGUACUGGCUUUGUGUUGUAAAGUUGGUUUUCAUACAGCUUCCAGAAAGCUCUCUAUCGACGUUGGUGGAGCUAAACGUCUUCAAGCUUUAUCUCAUCUUGUUUCUGUGCUUCUCUUGUGCCCAUGGGUCAUUGUUCUUUCUGUGACAACUGAGAGUAAAGUCGAGUCUUGGUUUUCUCUCAUUAUGCCUUUUGCAACGGUUAUCUUUUUUGUCAUGAUCCUGGAUUUCUACGUGGAUUCCAUUUGUUCAGUCAAAAUGGAAGUUUCCAAAUGUGCUCGUUAUGGAUCCUUUCCCAUUUUUAUUAGUGCUCUCCUUUUUGGAAAUUUUUGGACACAUCCAAUAACAGACCAGCUUCGGGCUAUGAACAAAGCAGCACACCAGGAGAGCACUGAACACGUCCUGUCUGGAGGAGUGGUAGUGAGUGCUAUAUUCUUCAUUUUGUCUGCUAAUAUCUUAUCAUCUCCCUCUAAGAGAGGACAAAAAGGUACCCUUAUUGGAUAUUCUCCUGAAGGAACACCUCUUUAUAACUUCAUGGGUGAUGCUUUUCAGCAUAGCUCUCAAUCGAUCCCUAGGUUUAUUAAGGAAUCACUAAAACAAAUUCUUGAGGAGAGUGAUUCUAGGCAGAUCUUUUACUUCUUGUGCUUGAAUCUGCUUUUUACCUUUGUGGAAUUAUUCUACGGCGUGCUGACCAAUAGUCUGGGCCUGAUCUCGGAUGGAUUCCACAUGCUUUUUGACUGCUCUGCCUUAGUCAUGGGACUUUUUGCUGCCCUGAUGAGUAGGUGGAAAGCCACUCGGAUUUUCUCCUAUGGGUACGGCCGAAUAGAAAUUCUGUCUGGAUUUAUUAAUGGACUUUUUCUAAUAGUAAUAGCGUUUUUUGUGUUUAUGGAGUCAGUGGCUAGAUUGAUUGAUCCUCCAGAAUUAGACACUCACAUGUUAACACCAGUCUCAGUUGGAGGGCUGAUAGUAAACCUUAUUGGUAUCUGUGCCUUUAGCCAUGCCCAUAGCCAUGCCCAUGGAGCUUCUCAAGGAAGCUGUCACUCAUCUGAUCACAGCCAUUCGCAUCAUAUGCAUGGACACAGUGACCAUGGGCAUGGUCACAGCCACGGAUCUGCGGGUGGAGGCAUGAAUGCUAACAUGAGGGGUGUAUUUCUACAUGUUUUGGCAGAUACACUUGGCAGCAUUGGUGUGAUUGUAUCCACAGUUCUUAUAGAGCAGUUUGGAUGGUUCAUCGCUGACCCACUCUGUUCUCUUUUUAUUGCUAUAUUAAUAUUUCUCAGUGUUGUUCCACUGAUUAAAGAUGCCUGCCAGGUUCUACUCCUGAGAUUGCCACCAGAAUAUGAAAAAGAACUACAUAUUGCUUUAGAAAAGGUACUGUAUGUAAUUUCUUCACUACUUUCUUCCUUGAAAAUCACAUUUUUGAAGUCUUUGCUGGAAGUAAAACAGACAACCAAAUAAAUAAUAAAACAAAACGAGGCCAAAAAA